rnacentral:rRNA from 1 species
GAUGAACGCUGACAGAAUGCUUAACACAUGCAAGUCUUUGGCGAAGCUGUGCUUGCACAGCCUAGCCAAGGCGGACGGGUGAGUAACGCGUAAGGAACUUGCCCUGCAGUCAGGGAUAACAGACGGAAACGACUGAUAAGACCUGGUAAAGUCAGGCGGACUCAUGUCCAGCCUGAUGAAAAGAGAUGCUGCAGGAGAGCCUUGCGUCCUAUUAGCUUGUUGGUGGGGUAACGGCCCACCAAGGCGAUGAUAGGUAGCCGGCCUGAGAGGGUGGACGGCCACAAGGGGACUGAGAUACGGCCCUUACUCCUACGGGAGGCAGCAGUGGGGAAUAUUGGAAAAUGGGGGCAACCCUGAUCCAGCAAUUCUGUGUGAACGAUGAAGGUUUUCGGAUUGUAAAGUGCUUUCAGCGGGGAAGAAAAAAAUGACGGUACCUGCAGAAGAAGCGACGGCUAAAUACGUG